rnacentral:rRNA from 1 species
UCCUUAGAUGUUCUGGGCCGCACGCGUGCUACACUGAGUGGAUCAGCGGGUCAGGUUGCGCGAAAGCGUUUCCUAAUCUUUAAAUCCGCUCGUGAUGGGGAUUGACGGUUGCAAUUUUCUGUCAUGAACGAGGAAUACCUUGUAAGCGCGGGUCAUCAUCCCGCGCUGAAUACGUCCCUGCCCUUUGUACACACCGCCCGUCGCACCUACCGAUUGAAUGAUUCGGUGAAGAUUCCGGACCGUGUUGUCACCGCUUCACGGCAGUUUUGACGUGGGAAGUUAUCUAAACCUCAUCAUUUAGAGGAAGGUGAAGUCGUAACA